CUGCGGGGCUGAGCAGGCAGCUCCGCUCGCCUUCACCAUGCUCCAGCUGACCCGCGUCUACAAGGGCAAUUCCAUGUUCCGGGGGAACGCCAGCCUGAAUGGGCAGCUCAGCCAUGUCCUGGAAGGGAAUAAUGUCACCCAGGUGAUCCCGCUGGAGUCCCCGGACGCCUGGGCCCGGCGGCAGGAGGAGGUGAUCACCUACCUGGGGAACUUCAGGCAGCUGGUGAUGCUUUUCAACAAGGAGAGACCCACCGAUUUCACCCAUCACCUGUGCUGCCACCUCGGCUGCCGCCUCUACCCCAACGGCACAGCCCAGAGCUUUUACGAGGUGACCCUCAACAGGACGGCGUUCCUGAGCUUCCAUGUCCCCAGCGCCACCUGGGAGCGGCUCUGGCCCGGAGAGCUCCCGGUGGCCGCCUUCGCCCAGCAGCAGCUGAUGAAAUACCCCAUAACCACCCAGGACCUGCAGUAUUUCCUCAACACCACCUGUGUCAGCCUCCUGCAGGCUCAGAGCGCCAGGACAGGUCGGUGCUGGGGCCGGGGCUGGGGACGGGGACGCGGUGGCGUGGCCCAUUUGUCACCUCUGUCCCUCUCGCCUCUUGCAGGAAGAGUCAGCGGCCGAUCGCGCACUCCGCUGGUGCUGGGGCUGGUCCUGGGCAGCCUCGGCCUGCUGGGCAUGGCCCUGGCCAUCUUCCUGUGCACGGGAGGGAGCUGCUAGCGUGGGCAGCUGUCCCAUGUCACCCCAUGGACACAGGGGAUGGACCUGUCAUCUCCCCGUGCAGCCACCACCACCCUGUGGGGGCAGGGGACAGACCCAUCAUCACCCUGGGGAGUCAGGGAUGGAUCCAUCAUCUUCCCAAGGAUCCAGCAACUCUCCAUGGAUCCAUCAUCUCCCUGCAGAGUCAGGGAUGGAUCCAUCAUCUUCCCAAGGAUCCAGCAACUCUCCAUGGAUCCAUCAUCUCCCUGCAGAGUCAGGGAUGGAUCCAUCAUCUUCCCAAGGAUCCAGCAACUCUCCAUGGAUCCAUCAUCUCCCUGCAGAGUCAGGGAUGGAUCCGUCAUCUUCCCAAGGAUCCAGCAACUCUCCAUGGAUCCAUCAUCACCCUGUGGAGUCAGGGGAGGCAGGGAUGGAUCCAUCAUCCCUGCACAGAGACAGAGGGGGAUGAAAGCCCAUCAGGGGACCAAGGCCAUCCCUCACAAGGGAUGCAUGUACCCAGUGCCACAGGCUUUGCUCCCCAAGGACACCAGUGGCUUCCCAGUCCUGUCCCAGCUGGGCUGCCCCCUCCAGCAGCCCCCAGCCCUGUGGAUGGUCCUCACUUCAGGCAAUGCACUGAGACUCCACACAGAAACACUGGGCAUGGAUGGGAAAAUGGGGGAGAGAGAAGUGGGGGAAAAGCAGCAGGAGAAACAGCCAUGGAAUGGAUAAAAGGAUGGUGUUAAACCCUCAUUCAUCCCUGCUCCAGUGGGGAUGGAGGGAGGAUGUCACACCUUGUGUAAUAAAACCACCCAUCAGCUCCCACCACGCCUUUGGCUGCUCUUGUUCCCCCUGGCAGCACUGAUGUGGGGCUGUGGAUCCAUCCUGGGCCAUGGCUGCUGGUGCUGGGUGGGCUCGCUGGUAUUGCCAGCCCCUGUGCCAGCCCCUGGGUUGUGUACUAAGUUUUCCGGGUCUCUGGAAAGACACUGGUGGUGUUUGCACCUCCUGAGCUCAUUUCAACCCUCUCCCAGCUUUGGUUUGACUCAAUUGAGUAAUUUUCUCAACGUUUUUAAUUUCCUUGCUUGAUGUGAGAUGCUGAGGUCAAGUACACACAGCUGUGAGGGGACAGUUUUCCACAAUC
rnacentral:lncRNA from 1 species